rnacentral:tRNA from 1 species
GGGCAGGUGGCAGAGCGGUUUAAGCGCCGGUCUUGAAAACCGACGAGGGUAAAACCUCCGUGAGUUCGAAUCUCACCCUGCCCGCCA